rnacentral:rRNA from 1 species
GACGAACGCUGGCGGCGUGCUUAACACAUGCAAGUCGAACGGUGACCUCGAGAGCUUGCUCUUGAGUGAUCAGUGGCGAACGGGUGAGUAACACGUGAGUAACCUGCCCCAGACUCUGGAAUAACCCCGGGAAACCGGAGCUAAUACCGGAUACGAAGUGGAGCCGCAUGGCUACUACUUGGAAAGUUUUUCGGUCUGGGAUGGACUCGCGGCCUAUCAGCUUGUUGGUGAGGUAACGGCUCACCAAGGCGACGACGGGUAGCCGGCCUGAGAGGGCGACCGGCCACACUGGGACUGAGACACGGCCCAGACUCCUACGGGAGGCAGCAGUGGGGAAUAUUGCACAAUGGGCGAAAGCCUGAUGCAGCGACGCCGCGUGAGGGAUGACGGCCUUCGGGUUGUAAACCUCUUUCAGCAGGGAAGAAGCGAAAGUGACGGUACCUGCAGAAGAAGCACCGGCUAACUACGUGCCAGCAGCCGCGGUAACAC